UAUUGAUGACUAAGCUUGUUUACACCAACCAUUAGGAAUCCCCCACGUUUUGAUUAACAUAAAUAUAAAGCGUGUCUGGACAGAAACAUCACAACUUUAUGUCUUAAACCAUUUUCUUGAAAGCAGUAAUUUAACUUUAAAAUCUCAUAAAAAUGAAGACUGUAGUUCUCGUUCUUCUGGUAUGUCUCGCGAGUCUCGUAGCUGUUUCAGAAGGUUGUCAUUGUAGAACGUGGAAUGGUGCAUGCGAAGAUAGUGGCGAUUGCUGCGACCAUUAUGUUUGCGACGUCGAUGUAAUACGAAAUAACGCAUUAUUAUGCAAGCCAGUACCGGGAUCAAAAAAGAAAUGAAUUAAAAGAAUACAUAUCCAGUAUAAAAAGGCAGAUCCAUUACAAAAUAAAAAUUUGUAAUAGACAUUUGUUUUGUUUUUCUAAUUUAUUUGAAUUUAUCAGUGUGCUAAAUUGUUCCGUAUGUGCUAAAUUAAAUUUAACAAACAAAUAUCCGGUCUUCAUUUCAA